UGUGCUAACAGCCCCAGUGCACAGUCCCAUCGCUGCUAGAAUAAACUCUGGAAAUGGACACAUUUCUAGUAUCUCUUCAUCCUUUCCGAUGGCACCCCGUCGCCUGGAUAGAGAACUUGGACUGGAUACAGAGGAGGAGAAACUCCCUGCUUUGCCCUCUUCCUUACCUGCAAGGGAGGGAGAGCCCCUGAGCACAGCCCRGGCUCCGGCCGAGCCUGCCAGCGGGCACUGGAGCACAAAAGCAGAGGGAACCAGAAGAGGACAAAAGAAGUGAUCCUGGAGCCAAAAGGGUUGGAUGCUGCUUUCUCUGUUCUGAAAACUGUAACCAGGUUCUCGCUGGGCUUUUGUUUGCGGGGUGGCAUUGUCCACAAAAUUUGUGAAUUGCAGGCCUUCGUAGGAUGUACUCUGGGAGAAAUGUGCAACAGCAACAGAGCCAUGGCCAACAACUGCAGAAGUGUCAAAGAACUGGGAUGGACAUUUCUGACCGCAGCCCUGGCUGCCACCCGGCCUUCAUUGCUGACCAAACUUGGGUUCUGCUGCCUGCCCUAAGAUCACAGGGCCAGAGAAUGCAGUAACGUCAAGGACAUGUUCAUUUAAUUAAGACCUGCAGCCUAUGUGAUGGAGCCCUCCUGGGAGGGAUGAAAGGCAUGGCUGUUCCAUGGGAAGCAUCUUCGAGAUUAAGGAAUGCCGAAGGCAAAGAAGCAUCAAAUAUGAUUAAAAAGUGAUUAAUGCUGACUUUGAAAAUCAGGACUUGAGGAAACAAAUCCUAUGAGAUAAAUAGAGGGAUUUCACUGCACACUCAGUGUUGUGAAAUCACUUGAGGUGGAAGGAAAGCAACAUGGGCCAGACCUCACAGAUGUUGUUUAUAAAUUUUAUGAUCUUUUCUUCUUGCAUUUUCCUGUCUGUUGCAGC
rnacentral:lncRNA from 1 species